rnacentral:lncRNA from 10 species
CACCUCCCGGGUUCAAGUGAUUCUUCUGCCUCAGCCUCACGAGUAGCUGGGAUUACAGAGUUUCACUCUCAGAGGAGGAUUUUGUUCUUCAAUUGUGGAGUGAUCUCUAUCACCAGUGACUAAAGCAGAUGUUGGAGCACAGAGAGCCAUACCCCAAAAUAUGAUGCUUCGGCAUGCUGACUGCUUUGAAAAUUGAAAGGCCUCAGAAAUAAUCCUCAGUGCCAGGGUCUCCCUCUGACCUCCCCCUACCUCCCUUUCUCUCUGAUCCUGUCUCUCCCAAAGCACAGAAUGAAGCUGUUCUCUGAAUUCCCUUAUCUACCUAGAAACUGGACCCCCAAAGAGGAACACAAUUUGCCUUUGAUCCCUUCCCUGAAAUUUCAUUAACCAGAGAAAAUUAAAACUUCUAUCACAAAGGAAGAGACUGAACAUUAAACACCAUAGCUACAGCCCAGACAAACUUCUUCCCAAACCAUUGUUUGUUCUCCUGCCUGUUAAAUUGCCAGAGAAUCAUUCACAAGAUAAAGUCUGCCUUCUGGGUCCAUUCAUUCCCCACUAAAAAUCUUUUACUCCUACACCCUCAUGUCUCCUUCCUCCAUGAAGAAGGGUCUAUAAACCUCUAGGCCUCAUUGGGUUAUUGGGUAAUCAUUCUCAUGCAGUUCCCCUGUGCUCUGCAUGUUAAAUAAAUUUGUAUGCCUUUUUCUCCUA